CAACUGUUUCACAACUAAUCCUCUCCAAGGGUGAUUAUAUAAGGAAUUUGUCAACUAGCAACUGAUUAAUUAAUUGGCUGAGUGAGUUAAUAGUCAUCCCAUAGCAACCAAUCGACUGUUUGACAACUGAUCCAUUUCUCUCCAGGGGUGGUUAUGUAAAGAAUUUGUCAUCUAGCAACCAAUUAACCACUUAUUUAAGGGAGAAUCAUCAAGAACAUCAUCAACUAAAACAACUCCUUUGUUUGGAUGUUAAUCCAUUUCAGAGUAAGUUAGAAUACAAGAAAUUUAUCAUCAUACAAAUAGUUAAUCCAGAAUUUGGCUUAGGAAGUAAAAAAAAAAAUUUACUAACCAACAAUACAGCCUACUGUUUAACUAAAGGUGACAACAAUACACACUACUGUUUAACUGAAGGUGACAACAAUAUACACUACUGUUUAACUGAAGGUGACAACAAUACACACUACUGUUUAACUGAAGGUGACAACAAUACACACUACUGUUUAACUGAAGGUGAC